UUUGAGCCUGAGAAAUUACAAACAUAGACAGGAGUGUGGAUGUGGCAUGAGCAUUAAAGUCAAAUGCCAAUUUCCAAAACCAAUAGGAUACUGCCACUUUGGCAAUAAUAAAGUAGGUUUCCUGGCAAAUGAAUGAAACGUAACGGAAGUGUAACUUCCAAAAUAAGAAUUCAAACUUUCCAAACUAAUAUGCAAACUUCCAAAACCAAUGGGGUACUUCCACUUAGGCACAAAUGCAGCAGGUUUCCUGUCAAAUAAAUGACAAUGAUAGACAAUAACUUCCAAAAUCAAUAUGUCAAGAUGCACACAAAAUGCAAAACUUUCAUAUUGGUUAUGGAACGAAACGUAUUGGUUUUGGAAGUCAGCAUAGUAGAUUUGGUAUGUGAAGGACCUGGAAGUGGGACUUCCACAUUCAUAAUGCAAACUUCCAAAACCAACUAGGGUACUGCCACUUAGGCACAAAUACAGUAGGUUUCCUGUCAAAUAAAUGACACUGAUAGAUAAUAACUUCCAAAAACUUCCCCUGUACCUUAGGGGUUUAGACAGCGACCAUCAACUGCAACAUACCUGGUUCGAAUUUGGCCAAAACCUUUGUUGGAUUACUUUUCCUUCCGUAAUAAAGGCAUAAACUUGUCCCCCCAAAUGCUUCAAUAUGCUAACCUUCAAAACCCACAAAAAAUCAUGUACAGAUGCACAUAAAGCUAAUUAUUAUGUUACACUAACAUACAAUAUCUUCCACAAUCAAUAUCUUAAGCCACACAUUGAAUGUGAAACGUCCACACUGAUUUUGGAAUUGUAUUGUUUUUUUAAGUUAGCAUACUAGAUGGGGAAGACGAAAGACCUGGAAAUGUGAUGUCCAAAAUCAAUAUACUACAUUCCCAAUCUAAUAUGCUACAUAUGCCCAUACACAUGUACAUAGGCCCAUGUACCUUAGGGGUUAAGAUGCUGACCAUAAAUAGACAUAGAUUUCUACUUAAAGAAAUUUCCUGUUGUUUCCUCUUGUCCAUUCAUCCAGCAGAUGAUUUUGAAUGUCUGAGUAGCUGUUUCUUUCUAAAUGAUAACCAAGUCCUGUCUAGUCCAACUGCAUUUCACUUCUGUAGCUGUGUCUGGCUGUGCCUUUGAUAUAUAAAAUUCUAGAAUGUUGAUGCAUCAUGAAGGCAUGAAAGGUCCUGCAAAAUUCUGUGA